UUCGUAGGCGGAUUCGCAGGCAUCUUGUGAAAUCCCUCCGCUCAACGGAGGAACUGCAGGGUGAACCGCGAGUCUUGAGACAGGUAGGGGCUGUCGGAACGCUAGGUGGAGUGGUGAAAUGCGUUGAUAUCUAGCGGAACGCCGAAGGAGAAAUCAGGCAGCUGGGCCUGUUCUGACGCUGAUGUACGAAAGCGUGGGGAGCGAACAGGAUUAGAUACCCUGGUAGUCC
rnacentral:rRNA from 1 species